rnacentral:rRNA from 1 species
GAUGAACGCUGGCGGCGUGCCUAAUACAUGCAAGUCGAGCGAACGGACGAGAAGCUUGCUUCUCUGAUGUUAGCGGCGGACGGGUGAGUAACACGUGGAUAACCUACCUAUCAGACUGGGAUAACUUCGGGAAACCGGAGCUAAUACCGGAUAAUAUUUUGAACCGCAUGGUUCAAAAGUAAAAGACGGUCUUGCUGUCACUUAUAGAUGGAUCCGCGCUGCAUUAGCUAGUUGGUAAGGUAACGGCUUACCAAGGCAACGAGGCAUAGCCGACCGGAGGGAGGGAUAGGCCACACUGGAGCUGGGACACGGUCCAGGCUACUGCGGGAGGCAGCAGUAGGGAAUCGGACGCAAUGGGCGAAAGCCUGGCGGAGCAACGCCGCGUGAGUGAUGAAGGUCUUCGGAUCGUAAAACUCGGUUAUUAGGGAAGAACAUAUGUGUAAGUAACUGUGCACAGCUUGACGGUACCUAGUCAGAAAGCCACGGCUAACUACGUG